AUUAGUAAAAUUUGAGACCUCUUAAAAUGAUCAGUUCCUCUGAUUUUACUUUUUAUAGAUAUACGUUUGAGUAAGAUGAACAUUGUUCUAUUAUUCUAUGAACUUUUGACAACAUGUCUCCGAAAUCCUAGCAAAAAU